rnacentral:rRNA from 1 species
GAUCCUGGCUCAGGACGAACGCUGGCGGCGUGCCUAACACAUGCAAGUUGUACGAGAAGUUCACCUUCGAUUCCUUCGGGAUGAAAAGGUGAGCGGAGAGUAGCGAACGGGUGAGUAACGCGUGGGUAAUCUACCCUGUAAGUGGGGAAUAACCCUUCGAAAGGAGGGCUAAUACCGCAUAAUAUCUCCUCUUCACAAGAUAAGGAGAUUAAAGAUGGCCUCUUCUAUGCUAUCGCUUCAGGAUGAGCCCGCGUCCCAUUAGUUUGUUGGUAAGGUAACGGCUUACCAAGACUACAAUGGGUAGCCGGUCUGAGAGGAUGUACGGCCACACUGGGACUGAGAUACGGCCCAGACUCCUACGGGAGGCAGCAGUGGGGAAUAUUGCGCAAUGGGGGAAACCCUGACGCAGCGACGCCGCGUGGAUGAUGAAGGCCUUCGGGUUGUAAAAUCCUGUUUUGGGGGACGAAACCUUAAGGGUUUAAUAAACCCUUAAAUUGACGGUACCCCAAGAGAAAGCUCCGGCUAAUUAUGUGCCAGCAGCCGCGGUAAUACAUAAGGAGCAAGCGUUGUCCGGAAUUAUUGGGCGUAAAGGGCUCGUAGGCGGUCUUAAAAGUCAGAUGUUAAAUUACCAGGCUCAACCUGGUACUCCCAUCUGAAACUUUAAGACUUGAGGUUAGAAGAGGAAAGUANAAUUCCCGGUGUA